AAGAUUUAUCGCCAUUGGAUGGGCCCGCGUCGGAUUAGCUUGUUGGUGAGGUAAAAGCUCACCAAGGCGACGAUCCGUAGCUGGUCUGAGAGGAUGAUCAGCCACACUGGGACUGAGACACGGCCCAGACUCCUACGGGAGGCAGCAGUGGGGAAUAUUGGACAAUGGGCGCAAGCCUGAUGCAGCGACGCCGCGUGGGGGAUGAAUGCCUUCGGGUUGUAAACCCCUUUCAGGAGGGACGAAGCGAAAGUGACGGUACCUCCAGAAGAAGCCCCGGCCAACUACGUGCCAGCAGCCGCGGUAAUACGUAGGGGGCGAGCGUUGUCCGGAUUUAUUGGGCGUAAAGAGCUCGUAGGCGGCUCAGCAAGUCGGCCGUGAAAGCCUGAGGCUCAACCUCAGGGCGCCGGUCGAAACUGCUGUGGCUAGGGUCCGGUAGAGGAGAGUGGAAUUCCCGGUGUAGCGGUGAAAUGCGCAGAUAUCGGGAGGAACACCAGUAGCGAAGGCGGCUCUCUGGGCCGGUACCGACGCUGAGGAGCGAAAGCUAGGGGAGCAAACAGGAUUAGAUACCCUGGUAGUCCUAGCCGUAAACGUUGGGCACUAGGUGUGGCGGAGUCAUUGACAUCUGCCGUGCCGAAGCUAACGCAUUAAGUGCCCCGCCUGGGGAGUACGGUCGCAAGGCUAAAACUCAAAGGAAUUGACGGGAGCCCGCACAAGCGGCGGAGCAUGCGGCUUAAUUCGAUGGUACCCGAAGAACCUUACCUGGACUUGACAUAAUGGGAAAAACCCUAGAGAUAGGGUGUGCGUAAGCGUCCAUUACAGGUGGUGCAUGGCUGUCGUCAGCUCGUGUCGUGAGAUGUUGGGUUAAGUCCCGCAACGAGCGCAACCCCUAUUCUAUGUUGCCAGCGGAUAAUGCCGGGGACUCAUGGGAGACUGCCGGGGACAACUCGGAGGAAGGCGGGGACGACGUCAAGUCAUCAUGCCCCUUAUGUCCAGGGCUGCACGCAUGCUACAAUGGCAGGUACAACGGGCAGCGAUCCCGCGAGGGUGAGCGAAUCCUUUAAAGCCUGUCUCAGUUCGGAUCGGAGUCUGCAACUCGACUCCGUGAAGUCGGAGUCGCUAGUAAUCGCGAAUCAGCUAUGUCGCGGUGAAUACGUUCUCGGGCUUUGUACACACCGCCCGUCACAUCACGAAAGUUGGCAACACCCGAAGUCAGUGGCCCAACCGCAAGGAGGGAGCUGCCGAAGGUGGGGUCAGCGAUUGGGAUG
rnacentral:rRNA from 1 species